UACGGAGGGGGCUAGCGUUGUCCGAAUUUACUGGGCGUAACGCGCGCGUAGGCGGGUUGGUAAGUCCGCUGUGAAAGCCCGGAGCUUAACUCCGGAGGGUCGGUGGAUACUGCCAGUCUUGAAGGUGCUAGGGGGAGAUGGAAUUACCGGUGUAGCGGUGAAAUGCGUAGAUAUCGGGAGGAACACCAGUGGCGAAGGCGGUCUCCUGGGGCAUUCCUGACGCUGAGGCGCGAAAGCUGGGGGAGCAAACGGG
rnacentral:rRNA from 1 species